rnacentral:rRNA from 1 species
AUAGCCUCUCGAAAGAGAGAUUAAGCCCGCAUAAAAUCACAGUAUAGCAUUAUACAAUGAUCAAAUAUUUAUAGGAUAUGGAUGGGCAUGCGGAACAUUAGCUAGUUGGUAAGGUAACGGCUUACCAAGGCUACGAUGUUUAGGGGAUCUGAGAGGAUGACCCCCCACACUGGUACUGAGACACGGACCAGACUCCUACGGGAGGCAGCAGUAAGGAAUAUUGGUCAAUGGGCGGAAGCCUGAACCAGCCAUGCCGCGUGCAGGAAGACGGCCCUACGGGUUGUAAACUGCUUUUAUACGGGAAUAAACCUCUCUACGUGUAGGGAGCUGAAUGUACUGUAAGAAUAAGGAUCGGCUAACUCCGUGCCAGCAGCCGCGGUAAUACGGAGGAUCCAAGCGUUAUCCGGAUUUAUUGGGUUUAAAGGGUGCGUAGGCGGCCUAUUAAGUCAGGGGUGAAAGACGGUAGCUUAACUAUCGCAGUGCCUUUGAUACUGAUGGGCUUGAAUCUACUUGAGGUAGGCGGAAUGUGACAAGUAGCGGUGAAAUGCAUAGAUAUGUCACAGAACACCAAUUGCGAAGGCAGCUUACUAAAGUAGC